GAUGAACGCUGGCGGCGUGCCUAAUACAUGCAAGUCGAGCGAACAGACGAGGAGCUUGCUCCUCUGACGUUAGCGGCGGACGGGUGAGUAACACGUGGAUAACCUACCUAUAAGACUGGGAUAACUUCGGGAAACCGGAGCUAAUACCGGAUAAUAUAUUGAACCGCAUGGUUCAAUAGUGAAAGACGGUUUUGCUGUCACUUAUAGAUGGAUCCGCGCCGCAUUAGCUAGUUGGUAAGGUAACGGCUUACCAAGGCGACGAUGCGUAGCCGACCUGAGAGGGUGAUCGGCCACACUGGAACUGAGACACGGUCCAGACUCCUACGGGAGGCAGCAGUAGGGAAUCUUCCGCAAUGGGCGAAAGCUUGACGGAGCAACGCCGCGUGAGUGAUGAAGGUCUUCGGAUCGUAAAACUCUAUUAUUAGGGAAGAACAAAUGUGUAAGUAACUAUGCACGUCUUGACGGUACCUAAUCAGAAAGCCACGGCUAACUACGUG
rnacentral:rRNA from 1 species